rnacentral:rRNA from 1 species
ACGCUCGACACCUACGGAAGGCAGCAGUGGGGAAUAUUGGGCAAUGGGCGAAAGCCUGACCCAGCAACGCCGCGUGAGGGAAGAAGGUUUUCGGAUUGUAAACCUCUGUCCUCAGGGACGAAGGACGUGACGGUACCUGAGGAGGAAGCCCCGGCUAACUACGUGCCGGCAGCCGCCGGUAAUCUGAGCGGGCUGGCAAGGC